CGAGGUCAGUUGCGAAGAGGUGCUAACGAGGAAGCGACGUGGCUCCUCGUGCUAUGGGUGCGAGGCACGGCCCACGCACCUCUUGGCUCAUCGUACCCGUUGUCCGACCUCGGCUCCUCUGGGCUCAUCACACCUGUGGUCCGACCUCGACCUCGACUCUUCGCGCUUCAGUUGAGGUGGGUCGGACGAGCACAGGCACACAGAACCUCGGACGAGCAGGGGCAGGGCCCAGCGAGCACAAGCACAUGCGCAAAGAACCUUCGCUCGGACAAGCACAGGCACAGCUCGGCUGCAGAGAACCUCGGCUCGGACAAGCACAUGCACAGAGAACCUCGGCUCGGACAAGCACAGGCCCAACGAGCCGCUCGGCUCGGACAAGGAGGGAACAUCCCAACGAGCACAAGAAAACCAAGCUUUACGUAAUAGAAAUAAAAAGGAGGGAAUGGGAAUCGAACCUGUUAUCUCAUCCCCACUCAAACAACACACCAACCACCAAGCCAAACUCCCUUAUUAACAUAUAUGUAUAAUAUAUAUAUUUUAAGUAUGAAAACU
rnacentral:lncRNA from 1 species